UGCAGUCGACGCGUUGGCCCAAUUGAUUGAUGGUGCUUGCACCUGAUUGAUUUUGGUCGCCAACGAGUGGCGGACGGGUGAGUAACACGUAGGUAACCUGCCCAGAAGCGGGGGACAACAUUUGGAAACAGAUGCUAAUACCGCAUAACAACGUUGUUCGCAUGAACAACGCUUAAAAGAUGGCUUCUCGCUAUCACUUCUGGAUGGACCUGCGGUGCAUUAGCUUGUUGGUGGGGUAACGGCCUACCAAGGCGAUGAUGCAUAGCCGAGUUGAGAGACUGAUCGGCCACAAUGGGACUGAGACACGGCCCAUACUCCUACGGGAGGCAGCAGUAGGGAAUCUUCCACAAUGGGCGCAAGCCUGAUGGAGCAACACCGCGUGAGUGAAGAAGGGUUUCGGCUCGUAAAGCUCUGUUGUUAAAGAAGAACACGUAUGAGAGUAACUGUUCAUACGUUGACGGUAUUUAACCAGAAAGUCACGGCUAACUACGUGCCAGCAGNCGGCGGU
rnacentral:rRNA from 2 species